CCUACGGGAGGCAGCAGUGAGGAAUAUUGGUCAAUGGACGAGAGUCUGAACCAGCCAAGUCGCGUGAAGGAUGACUGCCCUAUGGGUUUUAAACUUCUUUUAUAAAGGAAUAAAGCGAGGCACGUGUGCCUUUUUGCAUGUACUUUAUGAAUAAGGAUCGGCUAACUCCGUGCCAGCAGCCGCGGUAAUACGGAGGAUCCGAGCGUUAUCCGGAUUUAUUGGGUUUAAAGGGAGCGUAGAUGGGUUGUUAAGUCAGUUGUGAAAGUUUGAGGCUCAACCGUAAAAUUGCAAUUGAUACUGGCAGUCUUGAGUACAGUUGAGGUAGGCGGAAUGCGUGGUGUAGCGGUGAAAUGCUUAGAUAUCACGAAGAACCCCGAUUGCGAAGGCAGCUUACUAAACUGUGACUGACAUUGAUGCUCGAAAGUGUGGGUAUCAAACAGGAUUAGAUACCCGGGUAGUC
rnacentral:rRNA from 1 species